rnacentral:rRNA from 1 species
UGCGUAACGCGUGGGAAUCUGCCCUUGGGUUCGGAAUAACAGUUAGAAAUGGCUGCUAAUACCGGAUGAUGUCUUAAGUCCAAAGAUUUAUCGCCCAAGGAUGAGCCCGCGUAGGAUUAGCUAGUUGGUGAGGUAAAGGCUCACCAAGGCGACGAUCCUUAGCUGGUCUGAGAGGAUGAUCAGCCACACUGGGACUGAGACACGGCCCAGACUCCUACGGGAGGCAGCAGUGGGGAAUAUGGACAAUGGCGCAAGCCUAGUCCAGC